GCAUCAAUGGGGUAGAGGUAACCUGGGUCGUUGCCAUAGGGUAUGUUUGAAUAAAUGAGCUUCGACCCGCCGGGGGUUCGAUUCCCUCUUGAUGCA